UAGGUAACCUCUUUUUUUUUCCUUUUCCUUUUUCUGAAUCACUGUCGGGACUUGAGAAACAAGAAAAUGUGUUCAUCUUAUAGGUCUAGAAUUGCAUCCAUGGCCUAGACAUGUGCUCCCUAGCUCAAGAACUUUCUAUGGACCUCCAGCUUUCCCCACAACACUUAUAAAUAAAACAUAAUAGUGAUUCUUAAGCUCUUUAUUGAUGUGUACAUGUCCUAACCAAGUUAGGGUGAUUCUCAAAUGCUAUAACUGUCCCUAAAAGUUGACACUCAAAGAUCUAACAGGGACAGCGCUGAAAGGUAAAAAUUUGCAAUAUUUUGAAAGCAGAAAAUAUAAGUCAUUGAAAUUUGAAAAUGAAUUCGAGGUAUAACUCUAUGAUAAGGAUUAUGUGUCCUUCAAGUCAUAAGCAUUGAACCAGUGUAGGGCAAGGAAAGAAAAACCAUAGCACAAUAAGCCACAAAGUCUCAACAAAGAAACCAAUAAAAUACAAUUCACAGAGGAUGGAAAGCCCCUACAAAAGGUUUUAGCCUUAAGGCACCUGCUUAACCAACUGAUCCACUAUCUAAUUAGCC
rnacentral:lncRNA from 1 species